CAUGAUAUAGUUACAUACGCGCAAAGAAUAGUUUAGUUUAGAAUCCUAGCUUUGGGAGCUAGGGGUAGGAGUUAAAAUCUCCUUUCUUU
rnacentral:tRNA from 1 species